rnacentral:rRNA from 1 species
UACGGAGGGUGCAAGCGUUAUCCGGAUUUACUGGGUUUAAAGGGUGUGUAGGCGGACUAUUUAAGUCCGUGGUGAAAUCUCCGGGCUCAACCCGGAAACUGCCAUGGAUACUAUUAGUCUUGAAUAUUGUUGAGGUGGGCGGAACGGGUCAUGUAGCGGUGAAAUGCAUAGAUAUGACCCGGAACACCGAUUGCGAAGGCAGCCCACUAAGCAAUGAUUGACGCUGAGGCACGAAAGCGUGGGGAUCAAACAGG